AUGUUGAUUUGGGGGCUUUACGAGCAAGGGUAUGAACAAAGCGGGGCAGUUGGAGAAGCGGAAGAAGAGAAAAAGAGGUGAAGCCAUCAGUGUCUACAGCUUCAGCUAUUGCCCGUGUGCAGAUGGUGCUUAAUCUCUCUUGUGCCUUCCAGACCUGCAUUCCAGCCACCUACCAAACCCCUUUCUGUGGAUGCCAAGAAAAGUCUUCAGACCGUGGACAAUGUGCUCUUUGCCCCUAUUAUGGAGAAAGGUGUUCCCUAGGAUGAUGACACAAGGAUUUAAUGAGUAGAAGACAACAACUUAAAACCUCUCAUUUGAGCAUGAAUUGUCUAGGUUAAAGGUAGGCAUUGAGAUCCCAUUAGCUACUGGCACACUUGGGAAAAGAAAUGUACACAUGCACAGACACACUUUAAAGCAAGACUUCAUAAAAAUACAGCGAUGCCUGUUUCUACUCAGACCCAAAAAUGGAAUUAAAGCCAAAACUUACAACCCCUCUACUAAUUAGAGAAGUAAAAAUGUCUUCACCCCAAGUGUCCCAGCACAACGUGAAACCGAAACAAGCUGCCUUUCUUUGGAUUCCACUUAUUUAUUUAUGUUUAAAAGAAUAUUUGAAGAAAAGGACGCCUAGUAAAAGAACAGUUGG
rnacentral:lncRNA from 1 species